GUGAAUACGGGGUACACCACGGCAUCAUCAUCACGUGCACCUACAACAACAACGCUGAGAAAGGCUGCAACGAUAGCUGAAUUUAAACUGCUGGAAGGUUUUUCCCCACAAGAUAUCCACAGAUUUUCUCUCCUUAUAUUACAGCGUAUGAGAGGAAAGGAGGGAAAAUGCAGGAAGUGAUUUCAAACAUUAUUCUGGCGAUAACCAGGGUAGUCUGGUCCACAGGGUUUGCCACUGAAUACUGCAACUGGAACUGAAAUGGAUUAGUAAUUUAAAACUAUAUCAUGAAAGGCCUAGGAUUGAUAGGAUCCAGCAGAAAAUGAGGUACAGGAAGUCCACCAGGGACCCAAGCGGCCACCAGGAAACAUCGAUGCAUCAGUAUAUACAUCGCCACCCAUGCGGCCUGGUCAACAAGGAUUGGAGCAGGUUUUCACAGACGAUGAUGGCGGGUCAGGUGGAAAGGAGAAUGUUGCUUCGAAGGCGUCCUCUUGAGAUUAUCCUACGGUGAGAUAGGUCUGACGUCCGUCACGGUUCACCGGCCAAUUCUGUUUCCAACUUGAGAGAGCCUACAACGCGCAGGAUCACCACAGGAAGGUAUAAGGUGUGGCAGUGUACUUCGGUCGACGAUGCAGGUACGAUGGCCUUUACGACUAGACAGUUCACCCGAUGCAGAGCAAGAAUUAACCUGGCGUCGACCAAGACUUCAAGACUUGCUGGUGGUCAACGAUCUGUGACCACCUCAUGCAUCACGGUCCAAAAACUUGAAGUGGAACAGGCUUACGUUCGAGUAUGUCACCAUCCAUGUGGCCUGGUCAGCGAGGAAAAGAACAGGUUUUCAUCAGGAGAUGAUGGCGGGUCAGGUGGAUAGGAGAAUGUUGCUUGGAAGGCAUCCGCACGGGGUUAUCUUCCGGUGAGAUGAGGUCUGAUGUCACUGCUGACCAUCCAAUUCGAUUUGCCAUUUGCAUGCGAGGACCCAAUUUUACUAUGAGAAGGAUCGAGGAGGACUCGGAUGUGGAUAAUGGACUCCGGUCGACGGCCAUGCCGAUCCCCAUGGUUGGAAGGUUCACCCGAUGCAGUCUCGCCAUGGUGAGGGGUGAUCAAAGAUCCAGUUGGUCUUCUGUAUUUUCCAAAAGGGGGAGAAAUUUUUCGGAGGAAAUUUUUUAGCAAGCCCCCCCCCCAAAAAAAAAGAGGGUUUUCAACCACAAAUUAAGGAUAUUUUGUACCCG